GAUGAACGCUGGCGGCGUGCCUAAUACAUGCAAGUCGAGCGAACAGACGAGGAGCUUGCUCCUCUGACGUUAGCGGCGGACGGGUGAGUAACACGUGGAUAACCUACCUAUAAGACUGGGAUAACUUCGGGAAACCGGAGCUAAUACCGGAUAAUAUAUUGAACCGCAUGGUUCAAUAGUGAAAGACGGUUUUGCUGUCACUUAUAGAUGGAUCCGCGCCGCAUUAGCUAGUUGGUAAGGUAACGGCUUACCAAGGCAACGAUGCGUAGCCGACCUGAGAGGGUGAUAGGCCACACUGGAACUGAGACACGGUCCAGACUCCUACGGGAGGCAGCAGUAGGGAAUCUUACGCAAUGGGCGAAAGCAUGACGGAGCAACGCGGCGUGAGUGAUGAAGGUCUUCGGAGCGUAAAACUCUGUUAUUAGGGAAGAACAAAUGUGUAAGUAACUAUGUACGUCUUGACGGUACCUAAUCAGAAAGCCACGGCUAACUACGUG
rnacentral:rRNA from 1 species